CUUGUGAACAUUUUUAAUUCUGAGUAUUGUUCUUUUGUCUUUAUAUUUCCGCUGCAUGUUUGUUCAAGUGUCAUAACACUUUCAACAACACCUCUGUAUUAAACGAAUUCGGGACCAUAAAUUCUUUCAAUUGGCAUCAAGAGCCAACACUUGACAUAUACUAAGUGUUUGUUCCUAUUUUUCUUUUUCAGAAACGAAUUCGUGAUGGAUACUCAGAUGACUGCUUCUAUGCGACCUCCUGUACUCGACGGCACAAAUUACACCUACUGGAAAGUCAAGAUGAGGGCAUACAUCAAAGCCAUUGAUGAGAGAGCCUGGAGAUCCAUUCUCACCGGAUGGAAAGCACCAACAAUCACAGAUGCAGAUGGGGAUGUAUUUCCAACACCAGAGCUACGGUGGACAGCAGAUGAUCUAUCAAAUGCCAAUCAAAACUCAAAGGCAUUGAAUGCAAUCUUCAACUCAGUAGAUUUAACAAUGUUUAAAUUGAUCUCAGUAUGCACUUCUGCAAAGGAUGCAUGGGAGGUUCUACAGCUACAUUGUGAAGGAUCAGAUAGUGUCAGAAGAACCAAGCUCAGAUUACUCUCUUCCAAAUUUGAGAGACUGAGAAUGGAAGAAACUGAAACUAUUUCUCAGUACAAUGAGAAAUUGAUUGAUCUAGCCAAUGAAUUUCAAUCCCUAGGUGGUCCUUUAAGCAAUGAGACACUGGUGAAUAAGGUGUUAAGAACUCUCCCAGAAAGAUUCAGCAUGACGGUUACUGCUAUUGAGGAGGCCAAAGACACAUCAUCUCUACGGCUGGACGACUUAAUUGGAAGUCUAAAGUCUAGAGAAAUGAACUUUGAAGAUCAAAGAAAGGAGAAAGGAAAGGCUAUCUCAAAUGCACUUCAGGCAGAAUUGGAGAAAGAAGAUGUUGCUCAGGAGUUUGAUGAUGAUGCAGAGGAAUGCCUCAACAAUGUUGCAUUCCAAAUUCAGAAAUUCAAUAGGGCAUACAGGCGAGGUGGAAUCAAGCCCAGACAACUAUUUCCAGAUGGCUCUUCACAAAACCGACAAACUCAGCCCCGGAGCAGACCUACUUCACAGAGAACAUUUCCUCAAACACCUUCUCAGAACACUUCUAAAAAUUCUUCAUUUGUUCGUUCAAAUUCUGAACCACCUAACUUGGAUCACAUUAAAUGCAGGGCUUGUUCUGGAUUUGGACAUUAUGCUAAUGAAUGUGCAAAUACCUUGAGAAGAAGAGGAAUGAGUUUGAUUUGUGCAGUCAGUGAUGAGGAGGAAGAACAACCUGAACAGACAGAGGAACAGCAAUCCACUAAACAAGCUCUAUCUGUCAGAUAUAUCACUGGAAAUGAUUCUGAAACAGAAUCACAAAGAGUUUCUCUAGAUGAUGCAACACUUUCUGAAACACUUUCAGUAACUGAAAUAUCUGAGUUAAAUACUGAUCAUUAUACAUGUUUAAACUCUAUUUCUGUAAAUGCAGCAGAAUCCAGCAUUGAAGCAGCUAGUGAUGAGGGAGAAAUCUGUAGAAAACUGGCUCUUGACCUGGAGAAGAAGACUCAAGAUCUGGAUGCAGCAAACAAGGAAAAUUCCUCCCUCAAAGAAACAAUCACACAUUUGGAGGUUGGACUCACCAGGAAGGAUCUUGAACUGGCAAAGGUGAAGGAUGAACUUAAGAAGGCAACUCUAGCAAUCAAGAGGAUGAACACUGGCACAACUAAACUUGAAGAGAUUGUGUCAAUGGAAAAGCAUUACAAACAUGAAAGGCUAGGGUUCAAAAAACAAAUGAAGCCAGUCGAGAAGAAAGAAAUUGUCUUUGUAAAAGAAAAGGGUGCAACCAGAAAGGAAUGUAGGAAGUCCACAGCCACUCCUUCAGACUCCAGAAUAAGAGGUUAUGUUUGCCAUUACUGUUUCUCACCAGGACACAUUCGUCCAUUUUGUGAGAAACUCAGUAAUGACAAAAUGUUGUAUAAAAUAAGUCACAUCACUCCAAGAAACACCUCAAAGAAAAAGGUAGAAUUUACCAAAAAGGAGUGUAAAAUAUGGACUCCCAAAGGUAAACUUUUGUGCAAAGCAGUAUAUACCUCUUUGAAUGCUAACAUUUCAGGUUCUUGGUACUUUGAUAGUGGAUGUUCUAGACACAUGACUGGAACAAAGGAAUUUCUAUCAAACUACCACACACUUAGUGGAGGACGUGUAACCUAUGGAGGAGGAGCUAAAGGCAAAGUGGUUGGACGUGGAACUCUCAGUAUUGAGGGACUUCCAAAACUUUCAAAUGUCCUACAUGUUGAAGGAUUGGGGUCAAAUCUCAUUAGUAUCAGUCAAUUGUGUGAUGAUGAUCUACGUGUAGAAUUUGAUAAAUACUGUUGUUCUGUGUUUGAUAAUCAAAAUCAUUGUGUACUUACAGGUUCCAGAUCAAUGGAUAAUUGCUAUCAAACAGGUGACACCAUCUCAUGCAAGAGUUCAAGAGUAAGUGAAGUAGAGCUGUGGCACCAGAAACUAGGACAUACAAACUUCAAGAAUCUGAAGCUGCUCAACAAGUACAAUGCCAUAAGAGGAGUACCAGAUCUCAAGAUCAAGGAUAUUCCUAUAUGUGGAAUGUGCCAGAAGGGAAAGCAAACCAGAGUACCACACAAAGUGUUGCAACACGUUGGUACCACUAUUUGUUUUGAACUUGUACAUAUGGAUCUUAUGGGUCCUAUAGAGGUAGAAAGUCUAGGUGGAAAAAAAUAUGUCUUUGUAUGUGUUGAUGAUUUUUCAAGAUAUACUUGGGUGUAUUUUUUGAGAGAAAAAUCAGACACCUUUGAAGUUUUCAAAAAUUUGUACAGGUUUGUUAGAACUCAAUUUCAAGUUUCUGUUCGUAGGAUAAGAUCUGAUCAUGGAAAAGAAUUUGAGAAUGCUUUAUUUUUUGCUUUUUGUAAUAAAAAGGGAAUAAAGCAUGAAUUUUCUGCUCCAAAAACUCCUCAGCAAAAUGGCAUUGCUGAAAGGAAAAACAGAACUAUUCAGGAAAUGGCUAGGGUGAUGAUGAGUGCAAAAAAUUUGUCUAAAAGGUUUUGGGCUGAGGCUGUCAACACAGCCUGUCACAUCUCAAACCGUGUGUAUCUAAGAUUAGGAUCUAUGAUGACUUCAUAUGAAAUUCUUUAUGGUAAGAAACCUAAUCUAGAAUACAUGCAUGUGUUUGGAUGUGUCUGCUAUGUUCUAAAUGAUAGAGAUCAUCUAGCUAAAUUUGAUUCAAAAAGUGAUUUGAGCUUAUUUAUGGGAUACUCUAAUAACAGUCAUGCUUAUAGAGUAUACAAUCUAAGAACUCGAACCAUUAUUGAAUCUGUAAAUGUGGUAUUUGAUGACUUUGCUGAUCUCCGCAGUAAAACAGCUGAAGAUGAAGUUGAUGACUUGAUUGCUGAAAGGGAAACAACAGAAGAAGACACUUCUGCCACAGAAAGCCCAGACACAAACAGUCCAGUCUUAAGAGAAGAAGGUGCUGAGCCAAGUGUCACCACAUCUGACUCAACACAUCCUACAGAGACUGAGUUGCAACCAACCCUAGAUGUCUGCAGAAAGGAACCAUCAAGCAGAAUCCAGAAAAAUCACCCAUCAACUCAAGUAGUGGGUGAUAUCUUUGGUGGAAUAAGAACCAGAAGAAAAGAGAGAGAGUGAACUACAGAGAUAUGGUAAGAUUUGCUAAUUUAUCUUCUGAAUGUGCACUAACUGGAACCACUUGUUUUGUGUCUUCAGUGGAACCAAGAAAUAUUGCAGAAGCUCUAAAGGAUGAAUUCUGGGUAAAUGCAAUGCAUGAAGAGUUGAAUCAAUUCAUCAGAAAUGAUGUGUGGUACUUAGUUCCCAGACCAAGCCAUGUAAAUGUGAUAGGGACUAAGUGGAUCUUCAAAAACAAAACUGAUGAAAAAGGUACAGUUGUUAGAAAUAAGGCUAGGUUAGUAGCACAAGGAUAUACUCAAAUUGAGGGUAUAGACUUUGAUGAGACUUUUGCUCCAGUAGCUAGAAUUGAAUCUAUUAGAUUACUCCUUGCUAUAGCCUGCUUUCUUAAAAUCAAACUGUAUCAGAUGGAUAUCAAAAGUGCAUUUCUGAAUGGAGUUUUAAAUGAGGAAGCAUAUGUUGAACAGCCAAAGGGUUUUGAAGAUUCUGCCAAGCCUAAUCAUGUUUUCAAGCUUAAGAAGGCACUGUAUGGUCUUAAACAAGCUCCUAGAGCAUGGUAUCAAAGACUCACUGACUUCUUACUUGAAAUACAGUUCAAUAGAGGGGAGGCAGACAGAACCCUAUUUGUUAGAAGAACUAAUAAUCAUAUCAUUAUUGUUCAGAUAUAUGUUGAUGACAUUGUUUUUGGCUCUACUUGUGCUAACCUUUUACAGUCUUUUGUAGAUUCAAUGUCUCACACUUUUGAAAUGAGUAUGGUAGGGGAGUUGAAUUACUUCUUAGGACUCCAAAUCAAACAGACAGGUGAAGGAAUGUUUGUGAAUCAGAAGAAGUAUGCUCUCAACCUGGUCAAAAGGUUUGAGUUGGAAUCAGCCAAGCACAUGAAAACUCCAAUGGGUUCCAGCCAAAAACUGUCUAAGGAUGAUGUUGCAGAAGAUGUCGACAGCACUCUCUACAGAAGCAUGAUUGGAAGUCUUCUGUAUCUAACAGCAAGCAGGCCUGACAUUAUGUUUAGUGUUUGUGUGUGUGCCAGAUAUCAAGCAAAUCCCAAGGUCACCCAUCUUAAAGCUGUGAAGAGGAUUAUUAGGUAUGUUGCAGGUACAGUAGACUUAGGGAUUCAGUUUUUCAAAGACACAAAUACAAACUUGAUAGGCUUUAGUGAUUCUGAUUGGGCUGGGGAUAUUAGUGACAGAAAAAGCACAUCAGGUGCAUGUUUCUUUUUGGGGAAUAAUCUAGUUUCUUGGUUUAGUAGAAAGCAAAACUGUGUAUCUCUUUCAACAGCUGAAUCAGAAUAUGUAGCUGCUGGAGGGUGUUGUGGUCAACUAAUUUGGAUGAAACAAAUGUUGGGAGAUUAUGGGUUAACCAGUGAUACCCUGACCAUAUAUUGUGAUAAUUCAAGUGCUAUUGACAUUUCAAAAAAUCCCGUUCAACACUCACGAACUAAACACAUAGAUAUUAAACAUCAUUUUAUUCGUGAUAUAGUUGAGAAAAAUAUAGUGUGCUUAAAGUACAUUCCUACAGAAGAUCAGCUGGCUGACAUCUUUACAAAGGCAUUAGAUUAUGAGAGGUUUUCAAAACUCAGAAAAACUCUCGGGAUGUGUACUCAAUAAACAUGUCCUGAAAUGUGUUGCAGCACCUCAUCAAAUAUCUUAAGCUGCAACACAAUCUACUGAAGCAUUAGCUUCAUUAAAUAAUGACUUCACUGUGAUGUAUUAUUUUCUAAAUCAGUAACUGGAAGUCUUUCACCUUGAAACGUGAUCAUGCUUCAUGUAAACAUUUAGACAAAUAAUUACACUCACAUAAGUCAAACUCCUCUAUUUUGAUAGUCAUAUCUUAGUAACUGAUGAACCUUCAAACUGAACACUUGAUCAUGUUCCAUGUGAAAUGUUUGACUUGAAUAUAUAUAUAUAUAUAUAUAUAUAUAUAUAUAUAUAUAUAUAUAUAUAUAUAUAUAUAUAUAUAUAUAUAUAUAUAUAUAUAUAUAUAUAUAUAUAUAUAUAUAUAUAAUAAUAAAUAUAUAAAUAUACAGAUAUAAUAGUAUCUAUGCCUGUCAGCAAAUUUUUCUCACUAUUAAUCAUUAAUAAAUGUAUUUCUCUAUUAUUUGUGAAUAUUUCUUGAGUGCUACGGUUUUAUUGAUUUUUCUCUUUUCAUUUUAAUUAUCCCUAUUUAUAUGGGUCAUGGGUACAUGGGUUAAUUCCUUAUUUUCCACUAAGUCCACUCCUUAUUGUGCCAUGUGUCACGUUUUUAUUUUAAACUGCCAAGGAAAUUUUAUUCUCCUUAAUCACACUCUCCCCAAGAAAAACGGACACCACUUCUUCACCUUCUCCACUUCAAUUUUUUUUUCUUUCUUCUUCAGCAAAAAUUAGGGCUUAUAAAUUUCGUGCUUCUUCUCACAAAAUUCACACUCAAAAAUCAAAAGCACAAAGAAGCAAUUUUACUUUAUCUACUGUAUCAUGGCAUCCCCACCUAGAAAUCCUCCUCCAGCCGUCGAUGGUGAUGUCCACAACGAUGCUGCAGCACCUGUACCAGCAAACCCAAAUCUGGCCAUCAUCGUUCAUCCAAUCAACUUUGAAGCUGUUCCUAUCAGCUACAUUGAGCCCGGCGACGAGCUGAACCCGAUUGACCCAGACAACUUUGAUUUUGUGGGUCCCUCUUCCACCGCCGGAAGAUUUCCAACGCGCCGGUCAAAGCGCACGAACCCUUUUCCAGAUCUGAACACUGCGGUGCCACAACGCCGAAGAGGAGAAAACUCUCCCCGGAGAGGAAGCAGAGGUGGAAGAAGAGGAAGCAGAGGUGGCCGCACUCCAGUCCAGUCAAACCCACGAAGAGGUCUUCAUCUGGUAGAUGAAGAAACUGAUGACGAAGCAGGGGAUCCUACCUUUGCUGCACCACAGGCUCAAGCCUUGUCCUCCAGCUCCUCUGAGUCUUCAUCCAACAACUCACCUUCCCCAGCAUCAACUCAGGGGGAGACGUCGCAGCCCAGCAUGGCAACAGCAGCCUCUCAACAUUCUGUUCCUGAAGGUGUUGCUGCACCUGUUUCAGAAGGUGUUGCUGCACCUGUUUCAGAAGGUGUUGCUGCACCUGUCUCUGAAGGUGUUGCUGCACAUGCUCCAGAAGAUGCUGCUGCACCUACUGUUUCAGCAAAUGUUCCUCAGAAUGCUGCUGAGGAUGCUGCCCCUUAUCAGGAUGAAGAAAUGUCUGAUUUCUCUGGAAUGUCAUCAGCAGAGCAUGUAGACAUUCCAUCUGUGGAUGCUCAAGACUUCACCACCACAGAAGAAACUCCAUCAGCACCUCAUGGAGAUCCUCUGGAAACCCUAGCAGAAGCAGCAGUUCAAGCAGAUGCAUCUCCUCCUCAGGCUGAAGAUCCAGAGAAAAGUGAUGAUAGCUGGGAGGUUCCUCUAGCUGCUUUUCGCAAGAAUUUGCCUUCCUCUGAUUCUGACAGUGAAUCCUCUGAAGACUCUUCUCAACAGGAAGAAGGUGUUGCCCCACGUGCUGCAUCACCUGAACCAGCAUAUGUCCCUGAUGAGCUUGAAGAUUCAGAAGAUGAUGAUUCCUCAGAAGAAGAAGAACCAGACCUGGAUGGGAAGAACUUGUCAACCCCUUUUGAGGUAACAAAUGCCUUCAGUCCUAAUUUCUAUUUUGAGUCUGAUUCACUGUUGAGUCCUCAAGUCAUGAAUUGUCAUUUCAUUGAGGAAAAGAAAAUUUCUAAGGAAGAAUUUGAUAGGCAUAGGAUAACAGCUUUUCUUCACCAAAGAAAAAUCCUUAACCUAGUUGAGAUUGCCUGCUCUUAUGAUCCCUUGGUUGUGAAGGAGUUUUAUGCCAACUUGCAAACCUCAUUUUUAAAGAAAAACUCUCCAAAUUUUGGUAAAGUGUUUGUGCGCAAUGCCAUCUAUUCAUUUUCUCCCAAAAUUAUCAACUCUCAUUUGCAAACUCCUACUGUGAUUGAUGAGGAUAAUUAUGGUGAUUUUACUGAGAUUUGCAAAGUUAUUUCUGGAAACCGUUUAAGAAGUUGGCCUGCACACCCAAGAAAAUUUCAAGUCUCUCAACUCACUGCUUUUUACUCUGUCUUAUUUAGACUCACAGUGAUGAAUUGAAUUCCAUCCAAAAAUGUCUCUGUGGUAACAAAACCUCAUGCUGUACUCAUGUACAAAUUGGGGAUGGGAUUACCAGUGGAUUUUGGUAAACUGUUCUUUGAUACUAUUGGUCAUCUUGCCCAGAAAAUUUCACCCUCCACUCAUCUUCCCUAUCCUUCUCUCAUCUACUCCAUUUUACUCUCUCAAAAUUUGGGCCAAGAUGACUCAGAAUAUCUUCACACCCCACACGGCAUGAUCACUGUGUCUCAAAAUUUUCUGAGGGCUCCUCAUGUUCAAAGAUCUUCCCUGGAAUGGAGAUGAUUUUCUCUCAACUGAAUCAGGUCAAAAUAACAUUGGUACUGAGGGUGUUGCACCUCAUGUUGACAACACUUCUAACCUUCUUGUGUCUGUUCCUAGAGAUCUUCUAUUGCAGCAGCUUACUCAUUCUCUAGCUCAGAUUACCUAUCAUCAGUCCAUGGUGGAGAUGAUUCAGAAGGCUCUUUCUGAUCAAAAAGGGGGAAGCUCAAGAAGAAAGCAGUGGAUCUAGUGAUGGAGGAGGAGCAGCAGCUGAAACUGAGGAGACCUUGGAGACUUUGGAUAUUUUACUUUAGAUUGUUUUCAUGAACAAUAUUUUUUUGUUUGUGUUUUGUUUAUUUUCCCUCUGAACUUUUGUUUAGGACUGCACUUUGAUUAUUUCUUUUGUUGGACUAUCUUGCUGAAUUUGGUUUUAAUUUAUUGUUUCUAUGUUUUUUUUCAAAUGGUAUCAAAUUCAGGGGGAGUUCGAGCAAUAUCUCAGGGGGAGUCUUUGACUACGAUUUAGUUUUGAUCAGAAAGUUAAAAAGGGGGAGUUUGAAACACGUGAAUUAAUUUCACUAUGUGUUUUUAACUUUUCUUAACUUCUAAACUAAAUCUUAGUUAGUGGGCUAAGUAGGGUUAAGUAGUGCUUAGUGGAUUUAAUUAUGGAAUUUAUCUUAACUUCCUAACUAACCCACUAACCCAUUAUCUUGAGUGCUCUUGUGGUUGGUUUUCUUGCAGAUCAUGGGCUGAAGAGUGGAAGCUUGGCAAGUCUAUAAAUACCAAACUCAAGACUCAAGAUUAAUACAGAUUUCGAGAGAACAAAAAGAGAGCUAAAGUUUUAAUCUCGAGAAUUUUAGAUUGUUUUCUAGGAUCUGUUUUGUACGUACUCCUUAUGAGUACAUUCUUUGAAAUCUAGAAUUUUUAAUAUUUUUCUUUUAGUAUCUAGAUUUGAUUGUAAGAAUGAUCUUGAAAAAGAUCCAUUCAUAAGGAAGAAGUUUUUGCACCUCUUCUGUUUGUAUUCUUGGAAUACUGUUUUUAAUAUAUUUUUUCCGUCCUGUAAAGGGCAAGUUCACAAGUCUUUACUUGUGAACAUUUUUAAUUCUGAGUAUUGUUCUUUUGUCUUUAUAUUUCCGCUGCAUGUUUGUUCAAGUGUCAUAACACUUUCAACAACACCUCUGUAUUAAACGAAUUCGGGACCAUAAAUUCUUUCAACUUUCACUUUAUGCUAAAGCAAAAGAAGAAAAUGGAAUAUAAUCGACAAAUUAUUAGCUACAUCUCCACUCAAUCUUAUUACCAAUCACAUAGUGCAAUCUGAGACACAAGUAGUGUUAGCUAGCGAGCGAUAAUGGCGGAUGCUAUCGUUUCCGUUGUGUUGGAGCGCAUUGCAGCUCUCGUGGAAGAGAAGAUCCGAGACGAAGUAAAUUUGGUGAGAGGAGUUAAGAAGGAGGUUCUCAAACUUUCCGUUGAUCUGAACACUGUCAGAAACGUGUUGGAAGAUGCGGAGAAGAAGGGGUAUAAGGAAAAAAGCAUCAAAGAUUGGCUGACGAGGCUCGAAAACACGACCUAUGAAAUGGAUGACGUGUUGGACGAAUGGAACUACUCCAUUCUCAAGUUUCAGAUCGAACAAUCGUCUGAUGGUGUUGCUGCUGCUGAUGCUGUUGCUGAUGUUGUUCCUCCUAAGUGCACGGUACGCUUUUGCAUCCCUUGCUCGUUUUUAUGUUUCAAGAAAGUUUCUGUACGUCGUGGAAUUGCCUUGAAGAUAAAACAAGUGAAAGAACGGCUUGAUCUGAUUUUGGCGGAGAAAGGUCAGUUUCAUUUUAAUGAGAUCACGUCACAACCAUCUGAUCGUGAAUCUUGGCGAGGUCAAACUACUUCUAUCAUCGACAAAGAGGAAGUUUAUGGCCGAGACUUAGAGAGAGAAGCUCUGGUAAGCAAACUUGUGGGUGAAGGUGGUAGUAGCGAAGAAGGGUUAAUAGGAGGUAUACGCGUUGUAUCUAUAGUGGGUGUGGGUGGCCUUGGGAAGACAACUCUUGCUCAACUAGCUUAUAACGAUAGUCGAGUAAUGAAUUGUUUUGAGUUAAGAAUUUGGAUAUCUGUUUCGGAUCCUUUUGAUGAGGUUGAGAUUGCCAAAAGGAUUGUGGAGAAAGCAGGAGGGCCUUUACCAAAUACAAUGGACUUGGAUGGGCUGCUACAACGUCUAAUAGAGUCUAUUUCAGGGAAAAAGUUUCUUCUUGUUCUGGAUGAUGUUUGGACAGAAGACGAUACCAAGUGGAAACCCCUGAAAAACGCUAUCAAAAGUGGUGGACAUGGAAGCAAAGUUUUGGUUACAACUAGAAACGAAAGGGUUGCAAUAAUGAUGAUGGGAGAGUUUAUAAAGAAUGAUCAGAUGAUCCAUCGUUUAGGAGUUCUCAAUGAUGAACAUUGUUGGUCAUUAUUCUGUCGAAUUGCCCUUUGUGGUAAGAACAAGGAUGAAUGUGAAGAAUUUGAGAACACGGGUAAGGAGAUAGCCAACAAGUGCAAGGGAUUGCCACUUGCAAUAAAGACUUUGGCAAGUGUUUUGCGUUUCAAGAAUACAUUGGAAGAGUGGGAGAGCGUGUUAAAUAGUGAAAUCUGGAAGUUGGAGGUUGUAGAAGAUGACCUCUUCCGCCAUUUGUUUCUGAGUUACAACGAGUUGUCCCCAACAUUGAAGCGUUGCUUCUCGUAUUGUGCCGUCUUUCCUAAAGAUACCAUAAUUGAGGUGGAUGAGCUAAUAACAAGAUGGAUGGCAAUGGGUUACCUAGGAUCGAAUGCUGAUGAUGACUGGAAAGUUAGAGGGAGAGGGUACUUUGAUAAUUUAGCAAUGCGUUCUCUGUUUCAAGACUUUUAUAUGAAAGAUGGCGAUAAGAUAAAAUCGUUUAUGCUGCAUGACAUUGUACAUGAUUUCGCUGAAUUCCUGAGGAAGAAUGUGGGAUCAAGAAUGAAGAACACAACUUGCAAAGACUGUAGCCCUUUGUUAGUUUCCCGAGUCGAAAAAUAUCGUAGCUUAUUUCGGUGCAAAGAAGUUCUUGAUCCACAUAUUUGUGAUUGCCUGACAAGUGUGAGGUUGCUCGAUUUAAGUUGUUGUGGCUUGCAAGCCAUUCCGAAAGAAAUAGAAAAAUUGAUUCACUUGAGGUGGUUGGACUUGGGUAAUAAUAAAUUUGUUGGUGAUGAUCUCAAGUCCAUUUGUAAGUUGUAUAACUUGCAAUUUCUUUGGGUUAAUAGGUGCAGUCUAGAAGCAAUUCCGGUGGAGAUUGGGAAUUUGAGUGAGUUGAUACACUUGGACUUGAGCAAGAAUAGAGGACUGAGAGAGUUGCCGGAGAGCCUAUGCAAUUUGAGAAAAUUAGAGAGCCUGAAUGUUAAUGAGUGUCGUAGUCUGUGUGGACUUCCACAAGGGAUCCACAAGCUGAAGAAGCUCAAACAUUUGUAUAAUCAAAAUACUCUUUCUCUGAAGCAAUAUCCACAAGGAAUAUCCGAAUUAACGAGUCUAGUCACAUUGAAUAAAGUCCUUCCUUGUGAUGGGAAUAAGGUGGGGUGGUUGAAGAAUUUUAACCGACUUAGCGGGGAAGUGGAGUUGUCAAUUGAAAUAAGCAGUUGUGGUGAUUCAGUGGAGGAUGCUCGUGAGGCGGAGUUGGGGAAAAAGAUGCACAUUCAAGAACUGAGAAUAUAUUUCUCUGGAUCAACAACAGCAAUGGAUGGCCGUGGCAAACAAGUGAAAGAUACUUCUUCAUCAUCGUCGUCAACAUCGGUUUCUAAUGAAGUACUAGAUGCUCUUCACCCACAUCCAAACCUCCAACAGCUGACUAUCAAGGCCUAUAACGGCUCCCGACUUCCGGGAUGGAUCACGUCCCCCCUCAACCAACUCACAUCUAUUGAGCUCCACUUGUGUGAAUGUCUUUCGUUGCUUCCGCCGCUGGGUAAACUACCGCUACUGGAGACUCUUUCGAUUCAAGAUUUAUAUGAAUUGGAAUAUGUUGGACGGGAAUUCUUGGGAAUAUCAACAACAACAUCUUCAUUGAUGGGUACUAUUGUUGGUGGCUUCCCCAAGUUGAAGUACCUGACAUUUAGAGGAUGUAAUAACUGGAAGAAGUGGGAAGACAUUGCGGUGGAAGAAGAAGAUGAUAAUGUUGCUAUCUCAAUAAUGCCUUGCCUGACGGAGUUGGAGAUCACUGACUGCAGGAGAUUGAUGGAUCUGCCGCAACGCCUCAUGCGAAAGGUUUCAUCAUCAUUGAAGGUGUUGCGUAUUUAUGGUUCCAAACUGGUAGAUGCUCUUGAGCCACAUCCAAACCUGCAUAAGCUGAGGAUCAAGGAGUAUGAAGGCUCUCAACUUCCACGAUGGAUCACGUCCCCCCUCAACCAACUCACACAUGUUGGGCUCUACGAUUGUGAAUACCUUGUGUCGUUGCCGCCGCUGGGUAAACUACCUCUACUGGAGACUCUUGAUAUUCGAAGUUUACAUGAAUUGGAAUAUGUUGGACGGGAAUUCCUGGGAAUAGCAACAACAGCAACAACUUCGUGUUCGUCGGGUACUAAUAAUAUUAUUGAUGGUGGCUUUCCCAAGUUAAAAAAACUGACAUUUUGGAGGUGUCCAAAGUGGAACAAGUGGGAGGACAUUACUACUGCCCAAGAAGAAGAAGAAGAAGAGUAUACAAUAAUGCGUUGCCUCACGGAGUUGACUAUCGUUUACUGCAAGGGAUUGACGGAGCUGCCGCAACACCUCCUGCAAAAGGUUUCAUCAUCAUUGAAGAUGUUGGAUAUUAGAGGUUCAACACAACUGGAACAAGUCUACAGGAACAAGGAGGGUCAACCCUGGAAAUCCAUUUCCCGCCACAAUCCACACCUUCGCCUCUUCCGUCGAAAUAUUAGAUAGUUCUUUCAUCUUUCAUUAAUUCGAUUCAGUUAAUAUCAUGACCAUUAAUUAAUUCCUUGUUUUUUUUCAUAUGUACGUAUCAUCAAUAUCACUUGUACUAUUAGAAUAGAGUUGGAUAAUGAAUUAUAACAACAACACUCUACUAUUUCAGCCUAAUCCUAAUCCUAAUAUAUUACUAAAUUAAGCUACAUAUAUAUACAUAUUAUUAAUGGAGGCUGAAGCAAUAACUACAUAAAAGAAAAUUAGUUGUGGCAUGACCAAGAAAUUAGAUCCUGCCCCGGAAAAUGGUGAUGGUGCUGGUGAUCGAGAAAUCGGGUCGUCGUGCAUCAACGAAAUCACUUCCACCAUUAAUCUUUGCCCGUUUUUGCACCGAACCGGGUCGGAACUCACAAAGUACGCCGGGCCGGGUCGACCCAGAUUGAAAAUGGUGUUUCCAUCGUCGAAUACGGCGGAGAUGGGGUGGGUUGAGUUGCAGUGGUAGUACCCCCAUUUGUCUACCACCACCACCGAAUCAUUCUUGUACUCGAAACCUUGUUUUACAAUAAUAAAUAGUUACAUAAAUAUUAAUGAAGAUCAAUUACAUAAAAUAUAAGUUGAAAUUAUUAUAUAUAUAUAUAUUUAAAAUAAAUAAAAAAGUACUUACGGAGAAAAUCUCCGACAUGGAAUCUCACGGUUGAUGCCCACCGGGUGUACAUUUCAGUGUCGUUGGCUGCCGGCUGCCGCCAACCCUCGUCGCCGCCAACCAUGAACUCCUCCGCCGCGGUGGCUGCUGGAGAAGAAGUUGUGAUGGCCAGUAUGAAUAAAGUGGCAAAGCAAAAACUUGUAAAAGAAGCCAUUAAAAACAUGUGAAUUUAUUUUCGAUUCUGAAGAGGUUUGUUUAUAUCACCAUAGAUAUAUAUAGUGGGAGGAGGGAUUUUCAAAUACUGGAAGUAACCGGCAACAAAAGUGGUGGAGCACGGCGGUUAUUGGUAGUUGAAGAAGGUCGUGGUGUUUGACUUGGUCUGAGAAUUGUCCUACGUGGCCACAUCAUUUUUUUUAUUUUUUUUUUAAUGAAACACAAUCAACUUGAAAUUUUAUGCUUCUUUGCACCUCUAUAUAUAAUAUAUUUAUUAUUUUCCAAUAAAACGGACAAAUUUGCUAGACACUCCUUAUUUUGUACUUAUUAAUACAGCAAUAACGAAGCCACAAAACAAGUUUGAGUUUCACAAAAAUGAAAUAUUUAAUCAUACAAUUAAAUAAGCUUAGCAUUUUUCUGUCAAGACUAGAUUAAUAUAAUAUACAACAAAAAAUAAACUCUUAAACCUUCUAUGUACCCGAACAUGCGUCUUUCCGGCUUUAAUGGGCGAAUUCGAGCUCGAUUUCUGUUCUCAACGAUUAGAAAUUAACCAAAGAGAAAUCAAAUCAACCAAUAAGAAGCGCGUCUCUAUCUUUUACGACCAUAAUAUUGCAAAAUUUUCUUCGUGCCUGAAAGCUAGAAAGAAAGACGAACAAUAUCAAAUAUUUAAUCAUAUACUUCUAGAACCUUAAUCGAUGAAAUCCAGUAAUGUAUACAUUUACAAAUUAAAACGCGAUACCUUAUAGAAGCAUGCGGAUACACUUCAACGGUGAGAUGCUUCCACGUCAGCAAUAAUAUUUUGCAGCUGUAAUAAUUUUGCUGACCUGAUAUCAAGUAUACUAGGUGGCAUAGAUUGAAUAGAUCCAUGUAACUCAACCAAGUUAAAGAAUUCUUGUUUGGUUAAACUCUUCUUCUCAAUAAGAUUGUCGACAACGGCAUCCAUAAGUCCUCGGUUUUGCUCAAGAAUCUGUGUGAAGAAAGUCCGGAACAAAACCUUAGUAUUUUGUCCAUUAGUAUUGUUUUAAGGGGUAAUAAUGUCUUUAUGACGUACCGAUUUAGCACGUUCGUAACAGAUGUCGAGGAUCCGCAGUGCCUCUGAAUCAAUAUCCUGAAAUCAAAAUUUUGCAUCUCAAGCAUUAGCCACGUGCAGGGAUAUAUUAUUACAAUAAAAAUUAUGAAAAUUGAGCAUUUUUUUAUGUUUUUGGUACGAGAUGUGAUGAAUGCAUAAUUUUUCGUAAGUCAAUGAUUUUUUUUUUCUUUUUUUGCAAGAAUUUCAAGAUAUAGAAGGAAAAUUACAUUUAUCCUAUUUGCAGUCCAGAAGUUGUUCAAGCCGUAAUGCUUCUCAGAAAGGCCGCCAAGAACUAAGGUCCGUGCAGCUGAACGAGCAUUAUCUGCUGUCUCUGCCCAGAUAGUACUCAGCUGAAACAAAAUAAAAAUAAAAAUAAAAAUAAAAAAUAAAUCAAAGAAAUAGUAAAACCAUCUAAAAUAUAAGUUCGAUAGGUGAAGGCAUUGUCAGGUUAAUUAUAUUCCAGCUUAGUACAGAACUGAAGAUUUACACCCCUAUUCUGCAAAACCUAUUCCAAGAAAUCACGGAAUAAUUUGCAAAUUCAAGUAUGGAAAACAAAAUAUAGGGUCUCGUUACCUGAUGUUCGCCAUAGAAAAGUCCGUCAGCUGCACGUGGUGCGAGUUGGACUGUAAUGUGAUCCAACAGAGAUUGUCGGCUGUAAAUAUAAAAUGCUAAGGUUUAGCACAUGCAUCUAAAUACAUAUGAGAAAACGCAUGUUAAACUUAUAAACAUCCCUUGAAUUAUUCUUUUAGGAGUAUUAUAUAAAAUUAGGUGACUAUUAGUAAAUUUUAGUUAAAAUAGUACAAAUCAAGACACAUACAAGAAAGAUAAACUAAUAAACUUUUUUAGUAAAACUCUAUAUUCACUCUCAAAAUUUCAAUUGUAUGGGAAAGAAAUAAAAAAUAUGUAGAAGAAAAAUUACAAAAUUGCCGAUAAAGGGUGGGAGAAAGGAUACCUCAACAUUCCUUCCUUAAAUUUCAUGUUGUCCAUUUUCAGUCGUACAUAACCCAUUUCCCUUCCAGCUCUUGGAGAAAUUGUCAACUGAAAUAAAAAUACAGAGAAUGCAAAACCUUAAGUCAAAUUUGUACGAGAGAACUGUGCCAAAUUUGUAUCCUCCGUAUAUAUGCAGUAAGAUUAGUGAAAUUCUAAAGAUCAAACCAUUGCAGCGCUUUUAAUGUAUAUAAUAUGCAUGACAGUUUAAGAAGUAACGAAACGUAGCAAGUACUAAACAUACAAACUCAAUAUUUCGGAGAUCCGGAAAGUUGACAGCAACUACAGCCAUAGCUGCUUCAUUUAUAGCUACUUGCUUCCACAUCUCAGGGCUUCUGUCUUUUCUAUCUAGCAUUCCUCUUUCUUCUAUUUGUGCAGCUUGUAACAAGUCAUCAGUAGUAAUCUGCCACAAGCACAAUUAUUAAUAGGUAAAGCUAUUAAUACUCUCGAAAAAUGUAACCCACAUAUGUGCCAUUUUUUGUUUGAGGGCUGUAAUUAUACUCGUGUGACAUACCCGAAUAACAUCUCGACACUAAUUAUUCAUACGAAACAUGCUUUGGUAGCAACAAGUAGAUUUGACCAGUGACUAGAAGAACAGACGUUUUAAAAUAGAAAACCAAGUACUUGCAUUUCCAUGUUAAAUGGCCAUGGACCCGCUCUUAUACAAAUCUUAUAUUAUUCCAGUUUAUUUCUCCUAAUCAAUCAUUUGUAGAAUUUUUCCACACCAUUCAAUGUUUUCAGCAAUUCAAAGUGCAUACCUCAGUUCUGCUAUCACGCAUCAUAUUUAUGGCAGCAACUUCUAUGAUGUUUGCCAGCUCAGCACCGACCAUUCCGUCGGUCAUACUAGCAACAGCCAUAUAAUCCACAUCCGGGGCCAUUGGUUUCUUUCGAGCAUGAACCUAACACCAGAAAAAGAAACCAUAACAAAUUAUAUUUAAACAAAUGAUUAUAUAUAAGAAUAAAUUUACACAGACAGCAAACCUUCAGAAUCUCAACGCGGCCUAUAACUCCAGGCUUGGGAAUAUAUAUUUUCCGAUCGAACCUCCCAGGUCUGACAAGUGCUGGAUCCAAAAUGUCUGGUCUAUUAGUCGAGGCAAUGGUAAUGACUUCACCUCUGCCUUCAAACCCAUCGAGGCACACAAGAAGCUGGAGCAUAGUUAUGGUGUUGCGUAUUAGUAACGACCCGUACAUCAUUUAUCAAUUGGAAACUAAAAGAAAUACAAUAUGCGCAAGAAACCUGAUUUAAAGUAGCAUCACGCUCUUGUCCACCGGACCCCUUAAUUAAACCACGUUCUCUACCAACAGCAUCCAGUUCAUCAAUGAAAACAACAGAUGGAGCCUGCAUUAGUCACAUAAAACUCGGAUCUUAUUGCCAUUUCCAUCAAUAACUUAAACAGAUGUUAGAAGUUAACGUCAUUUGAAUUAUCAUAAUCGAAUAAAGGAAGAGAAAGACUCACAUUUUCCCUUGCAUCUUGGUAAAGUGCUCGAACACGAGAAGCACCGACACCAACAUAUAUUUCGACGAACUGAGAUGCAGAAAUGGAGAAGAAGUUAACACCUGCCUCACCAGCCACAGCUUUUGCUAAUAAUGUUUUACCCACACCGGGGGGCCCACAAAGAAGUAUACCACCUGAUGAUUCCGACCCAAAAUUAGGUCACAAAACGAGAAGGACGAAUCAUAUUCCAAGAAAACAUGUACUUAAAGUUAAUGUUUCUAAGCUGGCCUCUAAACCAACUAGCAUAAACUAACACAUUGGGAGUUCAGCCGUUAACUGAUUUCAUAUGUAUGUAGGAAAAUAGUUACCGUAAGACAAGAUAAAUAGUAACAUCUAAGUUUGUCAAUCACGGUAUCUGACCUGGUAUUUUAACUCCACGCCUUCGAUACAUUUCCCCAUGUGUAAAAAACUUCACAACCUCCUCAAGCUCAAGUCGGAUUUUCCCAAGCCCUGCAACAUCCGUGAACUUCACAUCGACACCCCUUUCCAAAAACUGCGGAAGCUUCUUACGUUGGGCCCGCCUCACACGAGCCCCCGACUUCAUAAACUGCUGUGCUGUUUUCAUGUAAGGAUUAUCUUCCCCUUUUCCUCCUUCCUCCCCCUCUUCAUCACCAUCCUCAAUCCCCGCCAUUUCCUUUUCAAGAUCCCUCAUCUUCUUCUUCUCGUCAGCCUCCGCUUUUUCUAUUUUCAACCUAUCAUCAUAAUCCUUCUUCUGCUUUCUAUAGUUGAGCACAACAGUUCGGUAAAAUAUAUAGAAGAAGACAAACCCAAGUGCAGUGGAGACAUUCGAAUCACUAGCUAAUCUCUCCCACACUAUCGCCAUGCUGUCUGAGCUCCUACGCGCUUGCCGUAUUGACUCUUCGUACUUCAACUUUUUCAUUUCCCUCCUUUUUUGCUUCUCCUCCAUUUUCUUCUGCGCUUUUAUGGCAUUUUCCAUCGUCUCCCUAUCCUCCUUCAUCUUCGCCAGCUCGUCGCUCCUCCUCCUCUUGAACUCCUCUCUCACCCUCUUCAACUCCAACGCCUUCUUCGACUGAGGCUUGGUCUUAAGCAAUGAAAACAUCCAUAACGGGAUUUUGGACAAGAACCCGAGAUAAGGUUUCGGAAUAUCAGGGUUUUUCACAGAUGGACUGUAAGCAGUCAUACAGAGACCAUCGAUUUUCAACUCAUCCCACUCUUGCCAAAACUUCGGAUCACUCUCGACCGAAGGCAGCACGCUCCUAACAACCUUAUUAUCCUCUAAAACCACCAAAACUACCUCCGGCCGCUGCUUUAAACCCGCGUUCGGCGGCUUAACAAUGUGCUUAAUCUUGUUUUCCCUUUUCAUAUCCAAUAUUUCACUAUAACCAAGUCUGUGGGAUACAACAGGAAGCCCUUUUGUCCACUUCUCUAGCUCCUCAGGGGUUAGAGCUUCAGUCCUUUUCCCCAAACGCUUCUUUUCGGAAACUUUCGCCGCAGCUAAAGAGGGCUGCGGGAGUGAGGCUGAAAUGACAGUUAGUGUUACAGAGAAUUUGACUAAAUCCAAUGGUGCCUUCCUGAGUUUUGAUUCUUCUUCUUUUUCUUCUUCUUCAUUUGUGGUGAUAGUUUCUGGGGUUUCAGUCAAAUUACAUGAAAUUCGGGCAAGGGUUUUGGGUUUUGGGAAAUUAGGGCGGAAUAGGAGCGGAGGAGGAGGUGCGGGUGAGAAUGGAGAAUUGAGAAUGCAAUUGCCGGCCAUGGAAAUUGGCUUAGGCUAAGCUAAUCGCAUGGGGGUAGAAAAAAUUAUUCGCCGGUCGGAAAGUUCAGAAUUCAUACAUUUUUAUCCACCACCGUUAAUUCCGAUGAUGGAGACGAAAUUCGUAUUGAGGAAGAUAAAAUGGAGCAAUUUUGUGUAUUUGUAUGCGUGUUUUUUUUAGAGGAUUGGUGGAUGUUGCAGAUGGAGGCUGCAGCGGCGUCGCCGUCGGUGCGCGGCGGAGAUGGAUAUGGUUAAUCGGCGGUGAUGGCCCAAAUGCCGGAACCCAUUUGGCAUACGCUUACAAGAAUUUUUCCCUGCCUGCAAAAGCCCAUCUGUAUUGGGCCUGUUUCUGCAAAAGCCCAUUUAUAUCGGGCCGGUUUCUUUUCAUCAUUUAUUACAUAUAAAAUAAUAUUUUAUUAUUUUAUGACGUGGAAAAUAUUUAUAAAAUUUAUAUUUAUAAAUCAUUCUCAAGCUAUGUUGUACGAAAACUUUAACUUCUUAACAUCUUCGGGUUUCGGAAACGUUUCGUGUCAAAAAUUCAAAAACACGUGUCAAAUACAUUAUGGGUCCUUUUAUAAAUUUCUAAAAAGUUAGAAACACGUGAGAAUAGUAAAUUUUCAAAUAACUUCAUUGUUUCCUAAAUUAUUUAUAUGAUGUAACGAGCAAUUGUAAAUUGAUUACUUUAUAGUAAAAUUUACUUUGACUAUGUUUGUUUUAAAAAUUAUAUAAAAAGAAUUUAUAUAUAAAUAAAAAUUUGUUCAUAUAUUUUUAAUAUUUACACAUUUCCUCCAAGUCCUCGUAUCCUUAUUUUCUGAAUAUGCGGUUUCCCAGUAUUUGUUUCCCGAUUUCCCUGUAUCACCGUUUUCGUAGUUCACAACUAUUUGAAAAAAAAUAACUUAUAAGUAAAGUCUUAUUUCUAAAUUAACUUCAUGCAAUCAUGCCCCUCAUUAAUCACAAUUUAAAAUGAGUAUCAUACAUUUAUUUAUUUAUUUUAAAUGUUUAUUUUAUAUUAAUUUAACCCACCUAUGUUCAUAUGAAACAUGAUUUGAGCUUACAUGUACGUAAUUAAACAAUUAAGUAUUGUUUAGUUUAGCUCUGUACUGAGUUAUUUGAGUUGGAAUUUGAAGCACAAACCCUAGAAACACAAUCCAGCAAUCAAUCCCAUUAUCACAAUUCACAGUGAAUCCAAAUUUUUAAUCUCUCAAUCUACUUUUCAUCCCUCUUAUAUUUCUCAAUUCCCACCCCGGAAUCAUAAUCAAUCGGCUGAAUUAAAUAAAUGGAUUUGUCGUCGAAAUUACCCAACCGCAGUUCGUCCGUCGACCUUCUGUUUUUCCUCGGUGCAAUUUCACGCCAGGAAAUGAGUUUGAAAUGUGGAUACACUGAAUUCAACCAUUAUUUGUUCUCUGUGUGGGGGUGGGG
rnacentral:lncRNA from 1 species